rnacentral:rRNA from 1 species
GAAGCUGGAUUCGCUAGUAAUCGCGCAUCAGCCACGGCGCGGUGAAUACGUUCCCGGGCCUUGUACACACCGCCCGUCAAGCCAUGGAAGCCGGGAGUGCCUGAAGUGCGUGAGCGCAAGCAGCGCCCUAAGGUAAAACCGGUGACUGGGGCUAAGUCGUAACAAGGUAAC